rnacentral:rRNA from 1 species
AACGAACGCUGGCGGCAGGCCUAACACAUGCAAGUCGAACGCCCUCUUCGGAGGGAGUGGCAGACGGGUGAGUAACGCGUGGGAACCUUCCCUGUGGUACGGAAUAACUCAGAGAAAUUUGAGCUAAUACCGUAUACGCCCUUCGGGGGAAAGAUUUAUCGCCAUAGGAUGGGCCCGCGUCGGAUUAGCUAGUUGGUGAGGUAAUGGCUCACCAAGGCAACGAUCCGUAGCUGGUCUUAGAGGAUGAUCAGCCACACUGGGACUGAGACACGGCCCAGACUCCUACGGGAGGCAGCAGUGGGGAAUAUUGGACAAUGGGCGCAAGCCUGAUCCAGCCAUGCCGCGUGAGUGACGAAGGCCCUAGGGUCGUAAAGCUCUUUCGCCUGUGAAGAUAAUGACAGUAGCAGGUAAAGAAACCCCGGCUAACUCCGUGCCAGCAGCCGCCGUAAAAC